GUUUUAAAGUAAGCUAUUCUAAUAUUUCUCAGCGAAAGAUUAAUUUAUCCCCUUGUAUGUCAACCCUGAGCUCUUUUUGCUAUUCCUAAGCAAAAUCUAGUCUGAAAAGGCAGCAUAGAGAUCCAAAGAACGCACUGACAAAGGAUCUCACCCGCAAGACCGCAGUAACACAGUCCCUGGAACAGCUCCGCUCGAGGCCACCCCGGUGGAGUGAGCAGAUUCGUGCGGUCCUGAAACGGCUCCUGAAUACAAGACUAACAACCCAAGAGGUGCUGGUCCAGGCCCCAGACAUACGGAGAAGAAUGAAGCAUCAUCCCUGCCCUGAAGGGUUUCACAGCCUGCUGGUGGGGAAGACGUGUGGAAAGAUACAUAAUAACAGCGGAUAUCACAGGAGCACCGGUCAGAUGCUGGGUGUUUGCCGGACAAGCGAGCCAGAGGAACACGAAGGCCCUGCCAUCAAGGAGCGUGCCAGACCUUGGGGCCCCUAGACCAGGAGUCCUUCAGAGGGGCCUGCCACGCUCCUCACGUUUCAAAAUGAUUUUCCACCUUGAACAUUACACUGUCUGUCAAGUUCAAAGAGCCUUCGUGUUUUGUUUGAAACAGGGUCUCGCUGUGUCACCCA